rnacentral:rRNA from 1 species
UACAGAGGCCACGAGCGUUAGGCGGAAUCACUGGGCUUAAAGCGUGUGUAGGUGGAUGGCUAAGUACCUUGUGAAAUCCCACGGCUCAACCGUGGAACUGCUCGGUAUACUGGUCGUCUUGAGGCACUCAGGGGCGAGCGGAACAGAUGGUGGAGCGGUGAAAUGCGUAGAUAUCGUAAGGAAGACCAGUGGCGAAGGCGGGUCUCUGGACAGUUCCUGACGCUGACGGCACGAAGGUCAGGGGAGCAAACCGGG